GUGUAUUGCACCGGAGACUGAAAGAAGGGUGAGGUUUUGGGGGCUCUGAUGUGCAAGGUAAGGCACUCAGUGUUCAGAACAAUCCUCAUGGAUCUGUCAUGCUCAAAGGAACAGUGUUGAAAGAGUGAUUAUGGUUUAAGAUAAUUUGGCUGUCAACCAAAUAACAUGUUGUUGCUUACUGCUAUGUCAGACACUUCUGCUGAUUGGUGAAUUUUUUUUUUAAUUUAUUUUUAUUUUUUUAUUUUUCGAGAUGGAGUCUCUCUUAGUCGCCCAGGCUAGAGUGCAGUAGUGCGAUCUUGGCUCACUGCAAGCUCCGCCUCCCGGGUUCAAGCCAUUCUCCUGCCUCAGCCUGCUGAGUAGCUGGGACUACAGGUGCCCACCACCACGCCCGGCUAAUGUUUUUUGUAUUUUUAGUAGAGAUGGGGUUUCACCAUGUUAGCCAGGGUGGUCUCUAUCUCCUGACCUCGUGAUCUGCCCAUCUCGGCCUCCCAAAGUGCUGGGAUUACAGGCAUGAGCCACCGCACCCGGCCUGAUGGGUGAAUUUUUAAGAGGAAGAAUAAUAAGCAAAUAGACUAGUUUAAAAGCAAGGUAUCAUUUCCUUGGUGGAUCUCUUGAGAAGGAGAUGGAAACAGUGAUGGGGGACUUUGGCUUGGCCUCCACUGAGUCCCAGAACUUUUCUCUCUAGAGUGUUGCCACCUUUAAAUGGCCCCUUACUCUCAUAAUCAGUGCUGAGUAGUGGCAAGGGGGAGAAAAUGGAAAAGUUGGCAUGGGAGAGAAGGCAGAUCCAGAAGAUAGGAUACAGCUCAGCCCUGAGAAUGUGGCCUGAUUUUCUCUUCUGUUAUUACAACUGCUCUUCUGCUUGAGUUUCUUCUACACCUUCAAGAUGGCUGAAGAACAAGACGCUUUCUCUCCAUGUCUAUGCUGUUUCACUAUGCUGCAAAUAUUCCCAGCCUUUUCCCCUUGAUGCCCAAAAUAAAUUCCUCAAAUACCCUGA
rnacentral:lncRNA from 1 species